UGUUUCAGCAAUGUUAGAUGAUGCUGCCUAGUCCAGAAACUUGAUCGGUGACAGGAGGAGCCAAUUUGAGAUCCUCAACUUGACUACAGAUCAUUCAUAUGGACAACUAAAUUGAAUAUUCCUGAAUCCCUAGUGAAAUCACCAAUGGGAAGUCAGUGUUACAACAAAUGUACAAGAGGUCAUUGUUUUGGAUUGAGCUCCUUCACCAGACCCCAAGAGACCAGACCCAAUCAAAAUGGAGUCAUUCCUUCCAAGUACCUAAAAUCAGACUGAACUUGACAUGGGCCAGUUUAAAAAAAAAUAAAAAUCCCAGGAGAUUCACGGGUUUCAAUCAGAAAAGACCUGGUCAACUUAACCAGUAAGAUAAGAAAUUCUCCUCUGUUUCAGCCCUUUAAGGAAACAUGACUCUAGAAGACAGAUUUGGUGUGUGACCCAGUUCUGCUCUUUCAGUCUUUUUCUGCCCAUGAAGCCCACUUCCUCUGCUCAGCUCAUCAGAGGCCCUUCCUAUUUCAUAAAUGGGAAGCUGCCCAAUUCAUGAAUUGCUAAUAGAAGCCAACUCAAUCUUCAACUUUGUAGAAAUGUGGCUCUUCUACAAUAGUUAUAAUAAAAGUCCAUAUCUUAAUCCUUAA